CUUAUAUAUAGCUUGGGGCUGGGUUAUUGGGUCGUCAGGUGUUCGUAAAAAGGCAGAUGAAAUUUAUAAUGAGUGUCUUUGAAAGAUAUCAAAGCGUGAAAUAAAGGAAAGUUUCGAAAAUUCAUUUGGUGUCGAAUAUGGUAAGGUUAUUGUUUGUAUUUUUUGAGGAAAGGGUGCCAACGGUAAUAGGAAGUCUUUUAGUUACAAAUGCAAAGCUUCUUGCCGAGCACAAGGCUAUAAAACAGAAAAGUGAAUCAUUCAUGCGAUUAAAAGGUAAAAUUCAGAAAAUCCAGACAGCAACCAAAAAUUUUGAAAGGGACUUUGAACAGCUUUAUUGUCAUUGAUUGUGUCGACUAACAUGAAGAUGGUAUCAAAGAU
rnacentral:lncRNA from 1 species